UACAGAGGGGGCAAGCGUUGUUCGGAAUUACUGGGCGUAAAGGGCGCGUAGGCGGUCCGCUAAGUCGAACGUGAAAUCCCCGGGCUCAACCCGGGAACUGCGUCCGAUACUGGUGGGCUUGAAUCCGGGAGAGGGAUGCGGAAUUCCAGGUGUAGCGGUGAAAUGCGUAGAUAUCUGGAGGAACACCGGUGGCGAAGGCGGCAUCCUGGACCGGUAUUGACGCUGAGGCGCGAAAGCCAGGGGAGCAAACGGG
rnacentral:rRNA from 1 species